GACAUAUUCAACCAGCUGACAAGGGCAUGCUUGGUGAUAAGAAGGUUGGACAUGUUUCGGGCAUAAAACGCAAGUCUGAUUCAGGACAAUAUUCGCGCUGCCUUAAAUUCCACAAUGUAUGAUUUACAACUUUCAAAUAAGUGUACUUUAGUUGCUUCUUCUUUAUAUUACCUGAACUUUUACGAUUGUAGCUAAUUGAUUAGAUGAUUUGGCAUGUCAUCCCAUGUUACGUUUUGGAUAUUUGGUUUCCUUGU
rnacentral:misc_RNA from 1 species